rnacentral:rRNA from 1 species
AUGCUAGAAAGAUUAUCCAAACAUACGCAUUUUUGCUUUAUAGAUGGUUAUUCGGGUUUAUCUCAAAUACUUGUGUCAAAAGAGGAUCAAGAAAAGACCACUUUUACUUGCCCUUUCGGUACCGUUUCUUAUAGACGUAUGCCUUUUGGUUUAUGCAAUGCACCUGCUACCUUUCAAAUAUGUAUGACUGCUAUAUUCUCUGACUUUUGUGAAAAGAUUGUUGAGGUUUUCAUGGAUGAUUUCUCCGUGUAUGGAACUUCUUUUGAUGAUUGCUUAAGCAACCUUGAUCGAGUUUUGCAGAGAUGUGAAGAAACUAAUCUUGUCUUGAAUUGGGAGAAGUGCCACUUUAUGGUUAAUGAAGGUAUUGUCCUGGGGCAUAAAAUUUCUGAAAGAGGUAUUGAAGUUGAUAAAGCUAAAGUUGAUGCUAUUGAAAAGAUGUCGUGUCCUAAGGACAUUAAAGGUAUAAGAAGUUUCCUUGGCCAUGUCGGUUUUUAUAGGAGGUUCAUUAAAGACUUAUCAAAAAUCUCUAGGCCUCUGACUAAUCUCUUACAAAAAGAUGUUCCUUUUGUCUUUGAUGAUGAUUGUGUAGAAGCAUUUGAAAUACUUAAGAAAGCUCUGAUUUCUGCACCUAUUGUUCAGCCUCUUGAUUGGAAUUUACCCUUUCAAAUUAUGUGUGAUGCUAGUGAUUAUGCUGUAGGUGUUGAUCUAGGACAAAAGUUCAUAAGAAAUUAA